GUUCUUUCGUUCCUGAGACGCCCUGG
rnacentral:piRNA from 1 species